rnacentral:rRNA from 1 species
UACGUAGGCAGCGAGCGUUGUUCGGAAUUACUGGGCGUAAAGAGUGUGUAGGCGGUGUUCCAAGUCUGGUGUGAAAUCUCCCGGCUCAACUGGGAGGGUGCGCCGGAAACUGGAAUGCUAGAGGGUGGGAGAGGUAAGCGGAAUUCCUGGUGUAGCGGUGAAAUGCGCAGAUAUCAGGAGGAACACCGGUGGCGAAGGCGGGUCUCUGGGCCGAUACUGACGCUGAGGAGCGAAAGCGUGGGGAGCAAACAGG